UCUAAUUGUAUAUCUGAUAUGUUUGGUGAAAGUCCAAAUCAAAGACGCUGGUAAACGUCUUUGCCCUAAUACCCCGACGUGCAAGAAUAAGGUGCUUUAUUGUUGUACGAAGUUCGGAGAGGGCGGCGAAAUAUUGUAUGUUUUACAAGUUUAGUAGCCGGGGGUCUAAGUA
rfam:Gracilibacillus halophilus YIM-C55.5 contig_40, whole genome shotgun sequence.